GACGAACGCUGGCGGCGUGCUUAACACAUGCAAGUCGAACGGAAAGGCCCUGCUUUUGUGGGGUGCUCGAGGGGCGAACGGGUGAGUAACACGUGAGUAACCUGCCCUUGACUUUGGGAUAACUUCAGGAAACUGGGGUUAAUACCGGAUAGGAGCUCCCGCUGCAUGGUGGGGGGUGGAUAGUUUCGGCUGUUGGGGAUGGACUCGCGGCUUAUCAGCUCGCUGGUGGGGUAGUGGCAUACCAAGGCUUUGACGGGUAGCCGGCCGGAGAGGGUGACCGGCCACCUUGGGCCUGAGCUACGGCCCAGACUCCUACGGGAGGCAGCAGUGGGGAAUAUUACACAAUGGGCGGACGCCUGAUGCAGAAACGCCGCGUGCGGGAUGACGGCCUUCGGGUUGUGAACCGCUUUCGCCUGUGACGCAGCGUGAGUGACGGUAAUGGGUAAAGAAGCACCGGCUAACUACGUG
rnacentral:rRNA from 1 species